GAUGAACGCUGGCGGCGUGCCUAAUACAUGCAAGUCGAGCGAACGGACGAGAAGCUUGCUUCUCUGAUGUUAGCGGCGGACGGGUGAGUAACACGUGGAUAACCUACCUAUAAGACUGGGAUAACUUCGGGAAACCGUAGCUAAUACCGUAUAAUAUUUUGAACCGCAUGGUUCAAAAGUGAAAGACGGUCUUUCUGUCACUUAUAGAUGGAUCCGCGCUGCAUUAGCUAGUUGGUAAGGUAACGGCUUACCAAGGCAACGAUGCAUAGCCGACCUGAGAGGGUGAUCGGCCACACUGGAACUGAGACACGGUCCAGACUCCUACGGGAGGCAGCAGUAGGGAAUCUUACGCAAUGGGCGAAAGCCUGACGGAGCAACGCCGCGUGAGUGAUGAAGGUCUUCGGAUCGUAAAACUCUGUUAUUAGGGAAGAACAUAUGUGUAAGUAACUGUGCACAUCUUGACGGUACCUAAUCAGAAAGCCACGGCUAACUACGUG
rnacentral:rRNA from 1 species